UACAUAGGGUGCGAGCGUUAAUCGGAAUUACUGGGCGUAAAGCGUGCGCAGGCGGCGCGUUAAGACAGGUGUGAAAGCCCCGAGCUUAACUUGGGAAUUGCGCUUGUGACUGGCGAGCUGGAGUGUGGCAGAGGGAGGUGGAAUUCCACGUGUAGCAGUGAAAUGCGUAGAGAUGUGGAGGAACACCGAUGGCGAAGGCAGCCUCCUGGGCCAGCACUGACGCUCAUGCACGAAAGCGUGGGGAGCAAACAGG
rnacentral:rRNA from 1 species